GCAGUGGGGAAUAUUGCACAAUGGGCGGAAGCCUGGUGGAAGGGACGCCGCUUGAGGGAUGACGGCCUUCGGGUUGUAAACCUCUUUCAGCAGGGAAGAAGCGCAAGUGACGGUACCUGCAGAAGAAGCGCCGGCUAACUACGUGCCAGCAGCCGCGGUAAUACGUAGGGCGCAAGCGUUGUCCGGAAUUAUUGGGCGUAAAGAGCUCGUAGGCGGCUUGUCACGUCGGGUGUGAAAGCCCGGGGCUUAACCCCGGGUCUGCAUUCGAUACGGGCUAGCUAGAGUGUGGUAGGGGAGAUCGGAAUUCCUGGUGUAGCGGUGAAAUGCGCAGAUAUCAGGAGGAACACCGGUGGCGAAGGCGGAUCUCUGGGCCAUUACUGACGCUGAGGAGCGAAAGCGUGGGGAGCGAACAGGAUUAGAUACCCUGGUAGUCCACGCCGUAAACGGUGGGAACUAGGUGUUGGCGACAUUCCACGUCGUCGGUGCCGCAGCUAACGCAUUAAGUUCCCCGCCUGGGGAGUACGGCCGCAAGGCUAAAACUCAAAGGAAUUGACGGGGGCCCGCACAAUACUC
rnacentral:rRNA from 1 species